rnacentral:rRNA from 1 species
GCGCAAUGGGCGAAAGCUGACGCAGCAACGCCGCGUGGGGAUGAAGGCCUUCGGGUUGUAAACCCCUUUCAGGAGGGAAGAAAUUGACGGUACCUCCAAAAGAAGGACCGGCCAACUACGUGCCAGCAGCCGCGGUAAUACGUAGGGUCCGAGCGUUAUCCGGAAUCAUUGGGCGUAAAGAGCUCGUAGGCGGUUCAGCAAGUCGGCUGUGAAAGUCCGGGGCUCAACCCCGGAAUUGCAGUCGAUACUGCUGUGACUCGAGUCCGGUAGAGGAGAACGGAAUUCCCGGUGUAGCGGUGAAAUGCGCAGAUAUCGGGAGGAACACCAGUAGCGAAGGCGGUUCUCUGGGCCGGCACUGACGCUGAGGAGCGAAAGCGUGGGGAGCAAACAGGAUUAGAUACCCUGGUAGUCCACGCCGUAAACUUUGGAUACUAGGUGUGGCGGUCUAUACCAACGACUGCUGUGCCGAAGCUAACGCAUUAAGUAUCCCGCCUGGGGAGUACGGCCGCAAGGCUA